UACGUAGAGGACUAGUGUUAUUCAUCUUUAAUAGGUUUAAAGGGUACCUAGACGGUAUAAUUAGUCUUUAACAGGAAACGGUUAUACUAGAGUUAUAUAUGAGGAGGUGAGUAUUUGUGGAGUAGAGUUGAAAUUCUUUGAUACCAUGAAGACUGGUAAAGGCGAAAGCAACCUUUUAUCUAAAAACUGACGUUGAGGGACGAAGGCUUGGGUAGCAAUAAGG
rnacentral:rRNA from 1 species